UUAUAUCUAGUAUCGGAUAUUGGGCGUAAGAGCUCGUAGGCGGUUUGUCGCGUCUGCUGUGAAAGACCGGGGCUCAACUCCGGUUCUGCAGUGGGUACGGGCAGACUAGAGUGCAGUAGGGGAGACUGGAAUUCCUGGUGUAGCGGUGAAAUGCGCAGAUAUCAGGAGGAACACCGAUGGCGAAGGCAGGUCUCUGGGCUGUAACUGACGCUGAGGAGCGAAAGCAUGGGGAGCGAACAGGAUUAGAUACCCUGGUAGUCCAUGCCGUAAACGUUGGGCACUAGGUGUGGGGGACAUUCCACGUUUUCCGCGCCGUAGCUAACGCAUUAAGUGCCCCGCCUGGGGAGUACGGCCGCAAGGCUAAAACUCAAAGGAAUUGACGGGGGCCCGCACAAGCGGCGGAGCAUGCGGAUUAAUUCGAUGCAACGCGAAGAACCUUACCAAGGCUUGACAUGAACCGGUAAUACCUGGAAACAGGUGCCCCGCUUGCGGUCGGUUUACAGGUGGUGCAUGGUUGUCGUCAGCUCGUGUCGUGAGAUGUUGGGUUAAGUCCCGCAACGAGCGCAACCCUCGUUCUAUGUUGCCAGCGCGUUAUGGCGGGGACUCAUAGGAGACUGCCGGGGUCAACUCGGAGGAAGGUGGGGACGACGUCAAAUCAUCAUGCCCCUUAUGUCUUGGGCUUCACGCAUGCUACAAUGGCCGGUACAAAGGGUUGCGAUACUGUGAGGUGGAGCUAAUCCCAAAAAGCCGGUCUCAGUUCGGAUUGGGGUCUGCAACUCGACCCCAUGAAGUCGGAGUCGCUAGUAAUCGCAGAUCAGCAACGCUGCGGUGAAUACGUUCCCGGGCCUUGUACACACCGCCCGUCAAGUCACGAAAGUUGGUAACACCCGAAGCCGGUGGCCUAACCCUUGUGGGGGGGAGCCGUCGAGGUGGGACCGGCGAUUGAGACUAAGUCGUAACAAGGUAACCA
rnacentral:rRNA from 1 species